AGUGGAUGGGGAGCAACCUAGUUGUGCGUGUGUAAAGGUAGUGCCAAGAAAAGCGAUGAUCAUGUUGAAAAUCAAUUCCCGGUACCCGAAACCGACACAGGUGGGCAAGUAGAGAAUACUAAGGGGCGCGAGGUAACUCUCUCCAAGGAACUCGGCAAAAUGACCCCGUAACUUAGGGAGAAGGGGUGCCACCGAGAGGUGGUCGCAGUGAAGAGGCCCAGGCGACUGUUUAGCAAAAACAUAGGUCUCUGCAAACUCGAAAGAGGAGGUAUAGGGGCUGACGCCUGCCCAGUGCCGGAAGGUUAAAGAAGUUGGUCAGUCUUAGGAUGAAGCUAGCGACUGAAGCCCCGGUGAACGGCGGCCGUAACUAUAACGGUCCUAAGGUAGCGAAAUUCCUUGUCGGGUAAGUUCGACCCGCACGAAAGGCGUAACGAUCUGGGCGCUGUCUCGGAGAGAGGCUCGGCGAAAUAGGAUUGUCUGUGAAGAUACGGACUACCUGCAUUUGGACAGAAAGACCCUAUGAAGCUUUACUAUAGCUUGGAAUUGUGUUCGGGCUUCCUGUGCGCAGGAUAGGUGGGAGGCGUAGAAGGUAUUCUUGUGGGGAUACUGGAGCCAACGGUGAGAUACCACUCUCAGGAGGCUAGAAUUCUAACUUAAUUAAGGACAGUUUCAGGUGGGUAGUUUGACUGGGGCGGUCGCCUCCAAAAAGGUAACGGAGGCGUACAAAGGUUCCCUCAGACUGGUUGGAAAUCAGUCGAAGAGUGCAAAGGCAGAAGGGAGCUUGACUGCGAGAAGUACAGUUCGAGCAGGGUGGAAACACGGUCUUAGUGAUCCGACGGUGCUGUGUGGAAGGGCCGUCGCUCAACGGGUAAAAGUUACUCUAGGAUAACAGGCUGAUCUCCCCCAAGAGUUCACAUCGACGGGGAGGUUUGGCACCUCGAUGUCGGCUCAUCGCAACCUGGGGCGGAAGUACGUCCCAAGGGUUGGGCUGUUCGCCCAUUAAAGCGGUACGUGAGCUGGGUUCAGAACGUCGUGAGACAGUUCGGUCCAUAUCCGAUGUAGGCGUGAGAAUAUUGAGAGGAGCCUUCCUUAGUACGAGAGGACCGGGAAGGACGCACCGCUGGUGUACCUGUUAUGAUGCCAAUUGUAAACGCAGGGUAGCCAAGUGCGGAGAGGAUAACCGCUGAAAGCAUCUAAGUGGGAAGCCCACCUCAAGAUGAGUAUUCUGGUGUAAGGUCACGGGAAGACGACCCGUAAAUAGGCACGAGGUGGAAGUGCAGAGAUGUAUGAAGCCGAAGUGUACUAAUAGACCGUCGGCUUGACC
rnacentral:rRNA from 1 species